rnacentral:rRNA from 1 species
CCUACGGGAGGCAGCAGUGAGGAAUAUUGGUCAAUGGGCGCGAGCCUGAACCAGCCAAGUCGCGUGAGGGAAGACGGUCCUAUGGAUUGUAAACCUCUUUUGUCGGGGAGCAAAAGACGCCACGCGUGGCGUUCCGAGAGUACCCGAAGAAAAAGCAUCGGCUAACUCCGUGCCAGCAGCCGCGGUAAUACGGAGGAUGCGAGCGUUAUCCGGAUUUAUUGGGUUUAAAGGGUGCGCAGGCGGAAGAUCAAGUCAGCGGUAAAAUUGAGGGGCUCAACCUCUUCGAGCCGUUGAAACUGGUUGUCUUGAGUGAGUGAGAAGUAGGCGGAAUGAGUGGUGUAGCGGUGAAAUGCAUAGAUAUCACGCAGAACUCCGAUUGCGAAGGCAGCAUACCGGCGCUCAACUGACGCUGAUGCACGAAAGUGUGGGGAUCGAACAGGAUUAGAUACCCCGGUAGUC